rnacentral:lncRNA from 1 species
AUACUACAUUGAGAUAAUAUUCAUUACAAACUCCGUAAACUAAAACACUGAAAUAAAAUAAAAUUUAUUCAACAACAUGAGGUCGAAUCGAAAUACAAUAAUUUUAGUAACUGCUUCCUCAAACACUAAUGUAACCACUCGUCUGAUAAAGUUGCUCUUGAAUAAAUUUACACUUUCAUGUACCUGUUGAAGAAAAAAACAAUUUUAGUACAUACUUUUUGAUGAACAAGAUUUAGCCAAAAAAAUGACAUAUCAUAUUUUAAUUAGUGAAACGAAUAAUAGAAUGACAAAUUAGUACUGGUAGAAAGAUGCUCACUCGAAGUUAGACAAUAAAUAUUAAUUCUUCUUUGACUGCAAAUAACCACAAGAAUUAAGAAGAAGAGAUAUAAAAUUAAGAGUACUUAAUCUCUCAAAAAAUAAAGAAUAAUAGAUAAAUUUCUUCAUACCUCUACAAUAAAAUUAAAUCAAUAAGAAGCCACA